GGAGGUAGUGACAAUAAAUCACAAUGCGGAACAAUGUUUUGCAAUUGGAUUGAGAACAACGUACAAACCUUAUCGAUAAACAAUUGGAGGGCAAGUCUGGUGCCAGCAGCCGCGGUAAUUCCAGCUCCAAUAGCGUAUAUUAACGUUGUUGCAGUUAAAAAGCUCGUAGUUGAAAUGAAGGGUAGUUGUGUAAUGAAUACAUUCGUGUAUUUUGUUAUUCAACUACCCUCCUUCUAAAUUCGAUAUAUGAGUAUUAAUUUACUUGUAUAUGGUUUUAGACCUUUACUGUGAGAAAAUUAGAGUGUUCAAAGCAGGCAUUUGCUUGAAUAUAUUAGCAUGGAAUAAUCAUGUAUGAUUUUCAUGAUGUAUUUGAUUGGUUUGGUUCAUGAGAAUAAGAUUAAAAGGGACAGUUGGGGGUAUUCAUAUUCAAUAGUCAGAGGUGAAAUUCUCGGAUUUAUGGAAGAUGAACAAGUGCGAAAGCA
rnacentral:rRNA from 1 species